UGGGGAUGCAGCUCAGUUGGUAGAGUGCCUGCCUUGCAUGCACAGGGCCCUGGGUUCAAUUCGCAGUACCACAA
rnacentral:tRNA from 1 species